UGGGACAUAGCUCAGUUGGUAGAGCGAUUAGUUGUCGACGGUUCGAGUCCGUCUGUCCCAG
rnacentral:tRNA from 1 species